UCCCCUAUAUUUGCACGGUGUACCAACUAUAUACAUCCACAUACACAUAGACAACUCACAACAUACCUUCACCAUACCUCGCAAAACAUUUAAUCAGAUACAAAUGCCUAUACAGCUAGCCAUCCUUAUGAGUAAUGUAUUCUCUACACACUCCUUUGGCACUGGAUGAUGCAAUGCACAAUGCAUCAAGCAUCCUAUCACUUGAAAGUAUUUCCCACCCAGAAGCUUUAUUUUGAAAUUCCAAAUGAACAAUAAACUAAAGACCAUUUCGAAAGCCAUUUUGAAAACUGUUUUCCACACAAAACCAUAUCUUUUGAAAACUAACUAACAUGAGGGGUAGAAAACCGGAUGCUAUGAAAGCCAUAAAAACCAUACUUUCGUACAUCUAUGAUAACCGUGCAUAUAUUUACAGUCAACUCAAAAUCAUAAUCUAGGAAUCCAUACAUAACCACAAUCAUUAUUCAAGAGUAAUGAAAAUAGUCGUCUAACUGAACUAGUCGUUAAUCAAAUGCUAAACUAAAAGAAAGAAAGAUAAACCAGGGUAGGGAUCCCUAAUGCGAUCUAACUAGCUGAACCUCACGCCGCACUAUGACCUGCCUCCUCACCUGUGCCACCUGUGAAAAUAGUGGGGUGAGAUACCAACUUGAGCUUUUCCAGUGGAUACGACAAAGUCACGACGACAAGCCAUAUUCACUGAAAAAUAAAUAGUGGAGAUAAAGCAAAUAUAUAUCAUGAGCGAAAAAGUAAAACUACAGUAGCAAUAUGAAUAGAUACGAAAAGUAUAUAAUCGAAAUGCCGCUACUAUAAAAGAGUCCUAUCCACCAUAUGCCUCAAAGGACAAAGUCCGAAACCUGUACCCAAUCCAUAUCCUAUCAUAUUGGUUCGUUGACCUCAGAUGAUGCCUGUCACUAUAUAAUGCACUAGUCCUGAUCCACGCAUCAUGCUAGAUGACCUAUUUGGAUGAGUACACCCCUAGUUAGUGGCUAAACCGACCGAGUGUUUAGAAUACUCCUGAACGCAAUGAUGAAUCAUGCGAGAUGAUCAACAUAACCUUCGGCAUAAAGCUGAUGCCUUGGCCGAAGCCAGAUGCCGUGGUGUAUAGACACCGAAACCCUGAUCAAACAGAUUGCAACACAACAAUGAAAGAUAUGUUGUGUUGCCUGAACCUAAAAGUCCCCAAAGAGUUAAGUGACACUAGCCUGCUCUACAUGUCUAAAACCAACUAUCACUAUGCAAGAUAAAAGCUCAGAUAUACUCGGAAUAAUGAAAAGGUACCGACAUGUAGAGAACGAAUAUAAUAAGUGUCAUGAUAUAAAAGGAAUAGCGAAGAUACAGCCUCACUUACUACCAGCUUGAAGCACCUACCUCUACGUAGAAUAUACCCGGGUUGUCAACCCCCUGCCAAUGCUUCUCAUUACAGUCCGGACCUAUGCAAAGUCCAUCCGAAAUCAUAAUUAUCCUAACCCGCUAAUUACAAAGCCUAUGACUCUAUAUGAAUCCAAACAGAUGAACAAUCGGGUUUCCGGAUCCCGAUCGACGGUCACCAAUGAUCGCUCGAUUGUCGCACCGACUUGUCGGAGUAUCACCCCAAUCCUCGAGAUGCCCUGAAAAAAGUCCUACACUUAUCCUACCUCGCCCACUAUCCCAAAACAUCAUUUUAAUGCCAUUGGACCAGCC
rnacentral:lncRNA from 1 species